rnacentral:rRNA from 1 species
CAGUAGCCGCGGUAAUACGAAGGGGGCUAGCGUUGUUCGGAUUUACUGGGCGUAAAGCGCACGUAGGCGGAUCGAUCAGUCAGGGGUGAAAUCCCAGAGCUCAACUCUGGAACUGCCUUUGAUACUGUCGAUCUGGAGUAUGGAAGAGGUGAGUGGAAUUCCGAGUGUAGAGGUGAAAUUCGUAGAUAUUCGGAGGAACACCAGUGGCGAAGGCGGCUCACUGGUCCAUUACUGACGCUGAGGUGCGAAAGCGUGGGGAGCAAACAGGAUUAGAUACCCCCGUAGUCCCUGUCUCUCAUAC